rnacentral:rRNA from 1 species
UACAGAGGGGGCAAGCGUUAUUCGGAAUCACUGGGCUUACAGAGUUCGUAGGCGGUCUGGAAAGUUGGGUGUGAAAUCCCUCGGCUCAACCGAGGAACUGCGCUUGAAACUACCAGACUCGAGGGAAAUAGAGGAAAGCGGAACUGAUGGUGGAGCGGUGAAAUGCGUUGAUAUCAUCAGGAACACCGGUGGCGAAGGCGGCUUUCUGGGUCUUACCUGACGCUGAGGAACGAAAGCCAGGGGAGCGAACGGG